rnacentral:rRNA from 1 species
UACAGAGGGUGCAAGCGUUGUUCGGAAUUAUUGGGCGUAAAGCGCGUGUAGGCGGCUUUGCAAGUCGGGUGUGAAAGCCCUCGGCUCAACCGAGGAAGUGCGCCCGAAACUGCAGAGCUUGAGUACCGGAGAGGAUGGCGGAAUUCCCCAAGUAGAGGUGAAAUUCGUAGAUAUGGGGAGGAACACCCGUGGCGAAGGCGGCUCUCUGGGACGGUACUGACGCUGAGACGCGAAAGCGUGGGGAGCGAACAGG